UACGAAGGCCCCGAGCGUUAUCCGGAUUUAUUGGGCGUAAAGCGUUCAACGGUGGUUUGGUAAGUACCCGGUCAAAUCUCACGGCUCAACCGUGAGGCUGCCGGGUAAACUGCCAGACUUGAGGUUGGAAGAGGCAAGCGGAACUACCGGUGUAGUGGUAAAAUGCGUUAAUAUCGGUAGGAACACCAAAGGCGAAGGCAGCUUGCUGGUACACACCUGACACUCAACGAACGAAAGCGUGGGGAGCGAAUGGG
rnacentral:rRNA from 1 species